GCGGGGUAGAGCAGUUGGCAGCUUGCUGGACUCAUUCUCCAGAGGUCGUGGGUUCGAAUCCCACCCGCCGCA
rnacentral:tRNA from 1 species